AUCAUCUCCUUUUUAAAGAAGACAAGGUUAAUUGGCUCAGGGCCACAAGAGUUUGGGCCCGGGUCUGUCUGCCUGAGCUCCUAACCGCCGUCCGCUUGCGUUGCCUUUCCUGUGAAGCCAAGCCGGCCACAAACACUCACAUCCCUCAUCUUGCGGAGGCAUCCCGCUGCAGUAGGCACCUGAUCCCAUCACCUCUCUUUUACAGAGGAGGAAGCCAGCUCCACUCCACCCGACUGGCAGGCUGGGAGGGGCUGAGCUCCCCGUGAGGCUCUCUGGGCGCCGUCUGGAAGUGAGGACACCUCUUGUCCCUUUCACUGGCCAGAGCUCAGUCACGUGGUCACACCUUACUGCGAGGGAUGCUGGGAGAUAGUCCGUCUGUGCACCCAGGGGAAACUGGAAAUGGGAUUUGCUGAUUUCAAGGCAGGCUCUGCUUAGGCUCUGUCGUGCAUAAUGCCAUUUUCACCUCAGAAGGAGAUGUUAUUAACAUGGUCGCACAGCGGCUGGACUGGAGUUCCAUCUGGGCCUCCUGGCUCCUAAGCACAAUGCUAGCUGGCCUCCCGUGGAAGGAGCCGGGAAACAGGACAGAGAAGUCUAGGAACAGGGAGAUGAUAUUGUCAACCAGGCCCCCAUCAUCUGGGAAAGGGACGCUACAUCAGAGGCGGGGCCUGGAGCCUGACCUUUGGUGUCAUUCUGAGCUGUGUGGCACUGGGGAAGUCACUUCUCUCUGAGCCUUGGUUCUUUGUAAUACCAAGAUGAUGACACCUAUCUAGCCAGGUUACUUGUGAGGGUAAAAUAAGAUAACACAGCCGACCGGGGCAGGCACUCAAUAUGUGUUAAUUCAAUCUGAAUUAAAAUCUGCAUCCGGGCUUCUCACCCCUGACUGCACAUUUGAAUCCCCUGGAGAGUUUUUAAAAAUGCAGCACGCCAGAUGCCUACCCUCGGAGGUUCUGCUUUGUUCGUAUGGGGUGAGGUCGGGGCAGAGGUGUCUUCUAAAACGUCUCCCUGGGCGUUUUACUUUGCAGGCAGCCUCGAGAAGCACCUUCUGUGACAAUGAGUUUCAAUCAGAAUGGACCAACUCAUAGGUCCUCCCUACUUAAGAAGUGAAGGGGUCCAGGGUCUCUAAUUGCGACAAGGCGUUUAGGGUUGGGCUGGGGUUGACCUUGAGAUCCGAUGGGGAGCCACCGCGUCCACCAAGCGGGCAGGCAAGUCAGGAGCAGGAAAGGCCUGAUGCAUUUCAUCCACAUCUCGGCCGAGGAAGAGCACGAAAAGGUGCCAUGAACAGAGGCCGGCUCUUCAUCAGCGUGCCCCUGGCCCCGGAUUCUUCUCUCCACCAUCUGCUCUGCAAGACUGGCAGGUCCCAAAACUUACAAACAGCCCCGUCCUGUACUUCCAUGUAAAACAGUGGAGCACCCUAAUUCCCGGGCUAUUACCAGUCAAACAGCUUUCUGCCAGCUCAGGUGACACGUGGCAGUUGGCAUUUGAACAGGUCAUUUUGCAGGACCAGCAAGAGACAGUAAGUCCCACCUUGGGGCUAUUACUCCGAGAGAGAGAGAGAGAGGAAUGGCUACAAGCUUGCGACUUUGGUGAUUUGUCUGGUGUUUCCCUCGAGAGGAGGGGAGAGGGCAGGGCCUGCAGUGGCAGGUCAUUUGUUUAUUUAACAGGGCAUUUACCAUGUGCCAGGCACAUCGGACUUCACUAAGUGCUUUGCAAAUGUUAAUUCCGUUGAAUCCCCACCACAACCUCAUGAGGUUGGUACUGUUAUUAUCUUCAUUUUACAG
rnacentral:lncRNA from 1 species